ACGAACGCUGGCGGCGUGGAUAAGACAUGCAAGUCGAACGGGAGAAUUGCUAGCUUGCUAAUAAUUCUCUAGUGGCGCACGGGUGAGUAACACGUGAGUAACCUGCCUCUUAGUGGGGGAUAGCCCUGGGAAACCGGGAUUAAUACCGCAUACGAUUGAAAGAUCAAAGCAGCAAUGCGCUAGGAGAUGGGCUCGCGGCCUAUUAGUUAGUUGGUGAGGUAACGGCUCACCAAGGCGAUGACGGGUAGCCGGUCUGAGAGGGUGUCCGGCCACACUGGAACUGAGACACGGUCCAGACACCUACGGGUGGCAGCAGUCGAGAAUCAUUCACAAUGGGGGCAACCCUGAUGGUGCGACGCCGCGUGGGGGAAUGAAGGUCUUCGGAUUGUAAACCCCUGUCAUGUGGGAGCAAAUUAAAAAGAUAGUACCACAAGAGGAAGAGACGGCUAACUCUGUGCCAGCAGCCGCGGUAAUACAGAGGUCUCAAGCGUUGUUCGGAAUCACUGGGCGUAAAGCGUGCGUAGGCUGUUUCGUAAGUCGUGUGUGAAAGGCAGGGGCUCAACCCCUGGAUUGCACAUGAUACUGCGAGACUAGAGUAAUGGAGGGGGAACCGGAAUUCUCGGUGUAGCAGUGAAAUGCGUAGAUAUCGAGAGGAACACUCGUGGCGAAGGCGGGUUCCUGGACAUUAACUGACGCUGAGGCACGAAGGCCAGGGGAGCGAAAGGGAUUAGAUACCCCUGUAGUCCUGGCAGUAAACGGUGCACGCUUGGUGUGCGGGGAAUCGACCCCCUGCGUGCCGGAGCUAACGCGUUAAGCGUGCCGCCUGGGGAGUACGGUCGCAAGAUUAAAACUCAAAGAAAUUGACGGGGACCCGCACAAGCGGUGGAGUAUGUGGCUUAAUUCGAUGCAACGCGAAGAACCUUACCUGGGCUUGACAUGUAAUGAACAACAUGUGAAAGCAUGCGACUCUUCGGAGGCGUUACACAGGUGCUGCAUGGCCGUCGUCAGCUCGUGUCGUGAGAUGUUUGGUUAAGUCCAGCAACGAGCGCAACCCCUGUUGCCAGUUACCAGCACGUCAAGGUGGGGACUCUGGCGAGACUGCCCAGAUCAACUGGGAGGAAGGUGGGGACGACGUCAGGUCAGUAUGGCCCUUAUGCCCAGGGCUGCACACGUACUACAAUGCCCAGUACAGAGGGGGCCGAAGCCGCGAGGCGGAGGAAAUCCUGAAAACUGGGCCCAGUUCGGACUGUAGGCUGCAACCCGCCUACACGAAGCCGGAAUCGCUAGUAAUGGCGCAUCAGCUACGGCGCCGUGAAUACGUUCCCGGGUCUUGUACACACCGCCCGUCACAUCAUGGAAGCCGGUCGCACCCGAAGCAUCUGAAGCCAACCGCAAGGAGGCAGGGUCCUAAGGUGAGACUGGUAACUGGGAUG
rnacentral:rRNA from 1 species